rnacentral:rRNA from 1 species
CAGCAGCCACGGUAAUACGAGGGGGGCAAGCGUUGUUCGGAAUUAUUGGGCGUAAAGGGCGCGUAGGCGGUUUGGCAAGUUUGGUGUGAAAUCUUCGGGCUCAACUCGAAGUCUGCACCGAAAACUGCCGGGCUUGAGUAUGGGAGAGGUGAGUGGAAUUUCCGGUGUAGCGGUGAAAUGCGUAGAUAUCGGAAGGAACACCUGUGGCGAAAGCGGCUCACUGAACCAUUACUGACGCUGAGGCGCGAAAGCUAGGGGAGCAAACAGGAUUAGAUACCCCAGUAGUCCCUGUCUCUUAUAC